rnacentral:rRNA from 1 species
CCUACGGGAGGCAGCAGUGAGGAAUAUUGGUCAAUGGACGCAAGUCUGAACCAGCCAUGCCGCGUGCAGGAAGACGGCUCUAUGAGUUGUAAACUGCUUUUGUACGAGGGUAAACGCAGAUACGUGUAUCUGUCUGAAAGUAUCGGACGAAUAAGGAUCGGCUAACUCCGUGCCAGCAGCCGCGGUAAUACGGAGGAUUCAAGCGUUAUCCGGAUUUAUUGGGUUUAAAGGGUGCGUAGGCGGUCGGAUAAGUUAGAGGUGAAAUCCCGAGGCUCAACCUCGGAACUGCCUCUGAUACUGUUAGGCUAGAGAGUAGUUGCGGUAGGCGGAAUGUAUGGUGUAGCGGUGAAAUGCUUAGAGAUCGUACAGAACACCGAUUGCGAAGGCAGCUUACCAAGCUAAUUCUGACGUUGAGGCACGAAAGCGUGGGGAGCAAACAGGAUUAGAUACCCCUGUAGUC